rnacentral:misc_RNA from 1 species
UCCGAGUUGACCCCGGCAGUCUCCUAUGAGUCCCCGGCAUAACCCGCUGGCAACAUAGAACGAGGGUUGCGCUCGUUGUGGGACUUAACCCAACAUCUCACGACACGAGCUGACGACAACCAUGCACCACCUGUGAACCGGCCCCAAAGGGGAAGGACUGUUUCCAGCCCGGUCCGGCCCAUGUCAAGCCUUGGUAAGGUUCUUCGCGUUGCAUCGAAUUAAUCCGCAUGCUCCACCGCUUGUGCAGGCCCCCGUCAAUUUCUUUGAGUUUUAACCUUGCGGCCGUACUCCCCAGGCGGAUGACUUAACGCGUUAGCUGCGCCACCGGAACGCUAAGCGCCCCGACAGCUAGUUCUCAUCGUUUACGGCGUGGACUAC